CUCCUACUUGUCUUGUUUCUCCGUGAGGUCUCUAAACUAACUUCAAGUAUUUGAAGAACUUACUACAUUUUUCCCUAAAAUCUUCCAAAAAAAACACCCCAUCUUUCUUUUGUCUGUGAUUCAUGUAACUAGCAACGCUUCAACAAUUCACAGUGAUCAUUUAAAUGGUAAUAUGGAGACAUGGUUAGGUUUUAUACCCUCUGCUCAUCAGGAUAAUGUAUAGAGACUUGCUGAACUGAGAUAUGAAGAUGGCCUAAUCAUCAAAUAUGGAUUCAGGUCUCCCCUGCUGAGCAGGACAGACAGACGGACUACGCAAGGCCCAACCCCUGUCCUUCCCGCAAACAGAGGCUGGAGAAACCACACGUCCCCUUUCCAGGUAGGGAUUGCUGCUGGCUGCCUUGGCUUUGUUUCCCACUUUCACCGCAGCAGUGGCAGUGGGAGGCCUUAUCUCGGCCUCCCAGCACUUCCCCCGGCAUGCGUGUGGGAGCCGGCAUGCCACAAACUUCCAGCAGCGGCUGGGCCGACAGGAAGGCUCUCUCGCCUCGUGCCCGAACGCCUGAGCUGCGUCCCGCCGGCCGUAGAAUUGCAAUCUGGCAGCUGCAGGGAUUUCCCGUUGCUUCCCUCCAUCUCUUCCUGCGAGGCCUGCUGUGGGGCCGGCAGCGGCCGUCAGGCCUCAGGAAGCUGUGAGCGGCGGCAGGCGGGCAGGUGGGGGCGAGGAGGUGAUGGUGGCCAAAACCCAUUUGUUUGGUGGCCGUCGCACCGACACGCGCUGGUUGGGCCAGGGGAAAACAAAAGGGGGAUGUCUGCUUCAAAAAGGCAGGAAAUGAAGCAGCACGGGGGACGAGAGAUCUAUUGGGACUGGGUUGGGGCUUUUCUUUCUUAACCUAUUGUUUCAUGAUAUUAUAAUGCAAAAAAAAAAAAAAAAAAAAAAGUAAAGGGGGAAAUAGAGAGAAAAAAAAAAAAAAAAAGAAAUUGAACACAUCCUGUGACCUCUUAUCAAGCCAUCAGGAAUAAAAACAAACAGCUCAUUCA
rnacentral:lncRNA from 1 species